rnacentral:rRNA from 1 species
CAGCCGCCACGGGAAUACGUAGGUGGCAAGCGUUGUCCGGAAUUAUUGGGCGUAAAGGGCUCGCAGGCGGUUUCUUAAGUCUGAUGUGAAAGCCCCCGGCUCAACCGGGGAGGGUCAUUGGAAACUGGGAAACUUGAGUGCAGAAGAGGAGAGCGGAAUUCCACGUGUAGCGGUGAAAUGCGUAGAGAUGUGGAGGAACACCAGUGGCGAAGGCGACUCUCUGGUCUGUAACUGACGCUGAGGAGCGAAAGCGUGGGGAGCGAACAGGAUUAGAUACCCCCGUAGUCCCUGUCUCUUAUAC